rnacentral:ncRNA from 1 species
CAAUGGUGCCCCGUUCUUGGGGGUAAAAGGGAAUCCGGUGAAAACCCGGAACUGUACCCGCAACUGUAAGUGGGAAGUUUUCUGCCGCCAGUAAAUGUCACUGAAGCGCCUUCGGCACUUUGGGAAGACAGGCAGCAAACGUCGAUCCACAAGUCAGGAAACCUGCCAUUGC